AUUGAACGCUGGCGGCAGGCCUAACACAUGCAAGUCGAACGAGUGGCGGACGGGUGAGUAAUGUCUGGGCACCUGCCCGAUGGAGGGGGAUAACUACUGGAAACGGUAGCUAAUACCGCAUACCAUCGGAUGUGCCCAGAUGGGUUUAGCUAGUGGGUGGGGUAAAGGCUCACCUGGGCGACGAUCCCUAGCUGGUCUGAGAGGAUGACCGGCAACACGGGGACUGAGACACGGUCCAGACUCCUACGGGAGGCAGCAGUGGGGAAUAUUGCGCAAUGGGCGAAAGCCUGAUGCAGCCAUGCCGCGUGAGUGAAGAAGGCCUUCGGGUUGUAAAGUACUUUCAGCGGGGAGGCGUUACUCGCAGAAGAAGCACCGGCUAACUCCGUGCCAGCAGCCGCGGUAAUUC
rnacentral:rRNA from 1 species